rnacentral:tRNA from 1 species
CGGGCUGUAGCUCAGCCUGGUAGAGCACUGUUCUGGGGGAGCAGGGGUCGCAGGUUCAAAUCCUGUCAGCCCGA